CAAAGGUUGAAAUAAUCUGAAUCCCCCAGACACAAAAAUGAGUUAAUUGUGUUUCGAAUUUAUACUAUAGAAUUUAGAAAAAUCGAAAAAGUAAGUAAACAUUCCCUUUUGUAAUGUUUUGAACCAAUUGAUUUGUCUACUGAAUUCGAAAAUAAAAAUAAAUAAAUAAAAAAAAAAGUCCUUUUUUUUUUUUUUGAAAACGGAAUCAAGACAAACUAGAAAGUUUCACCUUUCUUUUUAUUUUACUAUUUUUUUAUUCCCAGGAUGGGGAUUCUUAUUUUCCCCAUCACCCCACCAUAAACAAUAAGAAUUUUUUUUUUUAUUUUCUAUAAUACGUGCAGCCCAAUACCUAAUUGAUUUGAUCAAUCCUAGGACAAAUUAAUAGUGAAAAAAAAAAAAAGAAAAAACCUAAAAUUACGACAACACAAACACAAAAGUUCUAAAAAAUGAAAAAAAAAAAAAGAAAGAAACCCUUUUUGAGUUGUUCCCUGGAGUGAAGUUAGAACUAUUUAGUUACAACCAUUACAAGGUUCUAGUUUAUCAAAGAAGAAACUCUGAAAGUUAAGUUAAAUAAAACUGAAACCUUAAAUAAUU
rnacentral:lncRNA from 1 species